AGAGUUUGAUCCUGGCUCAGAAUCAACGCUGGCGGCGCGCUUAACACAUGCAAGUCGAACGAGAAAGCAGGAGCAAUCCUGUGAGUAAAGUGGCGUACGGGUGAGUAACACGUGGAUAAUCUGCCCUGGAGUGGGGAAUAACGCUGGGAAACCGGCGCUAAUACCGCAUAUUCCCGAGAGGGGAAAGCAGCAAUGCGCUCGAGGAGGAGUCCGCGGCUGAUUAGCUAGUUGGUAGGGUAAUGGCCUACCAAGGCUUCGGUCGGUAGCCGGCCUGAGAGGGCACACGGCCACACUGGCACUGAAACACGGGCCAGACUCCUACGGGAGGCAGCAGUGGGGAAUCUUGCACAAUGGGGGCAACCCUGAUGCAGCGACGCCGCGUGAGCGAUGAAGCCCUUCGGGGUGUAAA
rnacentral:rRNA from 1 species